GCAGUGAUGGUUCAUGGUAGAAUUCUCACCUUCCAUGUGGAAGGCCUGAGUUCAAUUCCCAGCCAAUGCA
rnacentral:tRNA from 1 species